UGAGAUAGUUGGGUUAAGUCCCGCAACGAGCGCAACCCUUGUCAUUAGUUGCCAUCAUUUAGUUGGGCACUCUAAGUGAGACUGCCGGUGACAAACCGGAGGAAGGUGGGGAUGACGUCAAGUCCUCAUGGCCCUUAUGGGUAGGGCUUCACACGUCAUACAAUGGUCGGUACAGAGGGUUGCCAACGCCGCGAGGUGGAGCCAAUCCCUUAAAGCCGAUCGUAGUCCGGAUCGUAGUCUGCAACUCGACUACGUGAAGUCGGAAUCGCUAGUAAUCGCAGAUCAGCAUGCUGCGGUGAAUACGUUCCCGGGUCUU
rnacentral:rRNA from 1 species